GCUCUUGGGGCCGGAUGGCAAGGCGUGUCACUCGUAAUUGGAGUCCUUCUCCAACAUAUGAUAAGAUACUCGGUUCGAUUCCGGGCAGGAGCA